ACGCACGCUGGCGGCAUGCCUAACACAUGCAAGUCGAACGAGACCUUCGGGUCUAGUGGCGCACGGGUGCGUAACGCGUGGGAACCUGCCCUUAGGUUCGGAAUAACUCCCCGAAAGGGGUGCUAAUACCGGAUAAUGUCUUCGGACCAAAGAUUUAUCGCCUUUGGAUGGGCCCGCGUUGGAUUAGCUAGUUGGUAGGGUAAAAGCCUACCAAGGCGACGAUCCAUAGCUGGUCUGAGAGGAUGAUCAGCCAUACUGGGACUGAGACACGGCCCAGACUCCUACGGGAGGCAGCAGUGGGGAAUAUUGGACAAUGGGCGAAAGCCUGAUCCAGCAAUGCCGCGUGAGUGAUGAAGGCCUUAGGGUUGUAAAGCUCUUUUACCCGGGAUGAUAAUGACAGUACCGGGAGAAUAAGCUCCGGCUAACUCCGUG
rnacentral:rRNA from 1 species